ensembl:lincRNA C530044C16Rik uncharacterized LOC110295539
AAUUAGUUCCUUAUCGUGGGGCUGCUGAAAGCAUUGAGACUUAAUGGAACGUCGCAAAGUGUUCAGAAGGAAUUGUUCUGAGGCCUGGAGGGAGGCAGACGCGGCCAUUCCUGUCUGAUACUUGGGGCUGUAGCUGCUGCAAUCCACUCAGGCCCUCAGCUCUAGUCCAGGAUCACACCAGCAACAACUCAUAUAUGAGGCAUGAGCUCUUUCUAAGCAAAGGUGUCAUGAAAGUCAAGAAGAGCAAUGGUGAAAAAUUCCAAGUGGAUUCUUCCUGUGUUGCCCAGGUUGGCCAAGAACGUCUGUGUUCAGGUGAUCUUCCUUCUGGAGCAGCUGUCAGCCCGCAUCACUAUGCCUAAGUUAAAUGUUUUAUUAAGUUAAGGAUAAAUCAACAAUCAAAAAAUAAGUGGACAUGGUUGGGAACACCUGUAAUGCCAGAAUCCAGGAUGUGGAGGUUGCCAGGAGUUCCAUCAGAUCCUGGACUUCAUGGUGAGAGUCCUUAAAGCCAUGAAUCCAAGCACACAAGGUCCAAGAAGACACAGGAAGUUCAGUAUUUCCUACUUAAAACUAGAACUGUUGGUGGAGAAGCUUGGCAGAACCAGUGCUGCAGAGGACCUUCCCUGAAAAGUGAUAUUCUGCUCUGAGACAAGCUGUACACAGGCAGAAACACAAGCCCGGUGUCACCUAGCCUCUGUGACAGUCCCGGCAGAUCACUUUAGUGCCACCCUCCUCUAGAGAGCACACUAAGUUGUCAGUGAUGGGAUGGAUCUUGACCUAUUGUCAUUCUUUGUUUAUUGAUUUUUUUCCCCUUUAGUUUGAAAGCAAAGUUUUUUUCUUCAAAAGGGUGGAUCUCCAUCUAAAACUAUCAUUCAAAAAUUCAUUCAGUAUUUCAUGAAGGAGCCGAAAUGUCUAACUCACCAAACAAAGACCGUCUACCUCACAAGUCACGCUGUUUGGGCUUGGACGCUGUAGGUUAAAACUUCCAGGUUGUCGAAGAGAAUAACAGAUUUGAAUCAACUCAAGUUCUGUGUCUUGUCUUUGUAAUCCCGGCAAUCACUGUUUAUCCCACAUCUAUUAUUUAAGAGUGUGUCAGGACAUGAGGCCAAAGACAGAACUCCAAGGACCUUUCAUGGCUCCAAACCUCCAUAAGCAUCCUGUGCACAUUGUCUGUCGUUGCCUUUGUGUGCAUGACCGUGCGAUUUGUAAAUUUAUCUCCGUGUGAAAUAUGUUUGUUUUGAAUAAUAUAAAUGUGCUAAUUUG